GACGAACGCUGGCGGCGUGCUUAACACAUGCAAGUCGAACGGAAAGGCCCUGCUUUUGUGGGGUGCUCGAGUGGCGAACGGGUGAGUAACACGUGAGUAACCUGCCCUUGACUUUGGGAUAACUUCAGGAAACUGGGGCUAAUACCGGAUAGGAGCUCCUGCUGCAUGGUGGGGGUUGGAAAGUUUCGGCGGUUGGGGAUGGACUCGCGGCUUAUCAGCUUGUUGGUGGGGUAGUGGCUUACCAAGGCUUUGACGGGUAGCCGGCCUGGGAGGGUGACCGGCCACAUUGGGACUGAGAUACGGCACAGACUACUACGGGAGGCAGCAGUGGGGAAUAGUGCACAAUGGGCGGAAGCCUGAUGCAGCAACGCCGCGUGCGGGAUGACGGCCUUCGGGUUGUAAACCGCUUUCGCCUGUGACGAAGCGUGAGUGACGGUAAUGGGUAAAGAAGCACCGGCUAACUACGUG
rnacentral:rRNA from 1 species